rnacentral:misc_RNA from 1 species
AAGGUAAUUUUCAUCUUGUAAGAAUUUAUUUAUAUAUAUUUUAUUGAUAUUUUAUUAUUUAUUUUUUUAUAUUCGUUUUCAAUUUAUAUUUAUUUUUCAUAUUUGUUUUUUAUAUAUAUCUUCACACUUUUUUAUGAACUUUUCUUAAAACUUUUUAAAUAAAUUAAGUAUAAAUAUAUUGGAAAAGUUAUGUAGCCAUAUUUUUAUUCAAUUAAAUAAUAAAUCAAUAGUGAUUAUAUCCAUGCAACGCAUGGAUAAAAAGGAUUAAUAAAUAAUUUCAGAUAAAUGUUAUUGCAUACAUUUACAAAGAUAUGGUACAUUCUAACACAUCAUAAAUUCUGUGAUCUAACAUUAUCUAAUCAAGAAUCGGAUUUUUUUUCCUUCUUUCUAUUGGAGGGUUUGGAUUAGAACACUGACAGAUGAUGAAAACAAUCAAAUCUUCAAUGUGCAAAACAAUCAAAGUUCAAAAGUUGGAACUUCAGAAGUAAAGCCAUGCGUAGCCUGGUAAUUUAGUCGAGUGAAUAGAUACCUGUAAGGAUCACUCUCUCUUUUCUCCUUCAAAAAAUCAAGGCAUUUCUGCACCUCAGAUUUAACUUCCAGGUAUAAUUCAUGGGCUUUCUCUCUGUCAUAUAAUGCCUUCUUCCUCCCUUGUGUUUCGAUUGGUUUCCCAAAAUAAUAAUAAAAUCUGCCCGGAAAUUUUGGUAGGAGUCCUGGAAGGUGUAUAUCUUGCUUUCCCACUUCGCCAUUUUCUUCAUUCCUCACUUUCGUAUACUGCUCUGAUAAGGCUAUUAUGUAAUCCCUAAGCAAAGGAAUCUUCAUUUGGUCAUCAUAGUCAAAAACUACCUGAGAUUCAUAAGUACAAUCAAUUAUUCAUAUGAAGGUUGAGACUAGAGAUUUGUUCCAAACAGGAAUUAAGAGUCUUGGAGAAUAGGAUUAUGUGAAAAAAAUAAUGAGGCAUGCGUACACAAUGCCAGGAACCAAGGUAUAAAUGCCAUAUUAGAGAUCUCGAGUCCACACAAAGUAAGCUCACUGUGAAGCUAGGGAAUCGCUAACUUUUAUGCUUCUCGCUUGGCAACUAUGAGUUGUACCACGACACAGAAAGCUCAAGCAUACUCUAAAAAGUCAUCUUCACCGAUAACACCAAAUGGCACAAUUUUGGCUCCGAACUUCGCCGCCAUCCUGACAAACUCGGACUUUUCUGGCCAGAAUAACUUGUAUUCUUCACCCUUGCGAUGAAAGGCCUCACGCGUGCCCCCUGGGUACAAGAGCACGUGAGCCUUUGAAGACAGAAGCUUGUGCAAAAGGUUUCCUGAAACAGGAACUCCACCCAUUACCCUGAUUAUGUCAAAUUGUGACGUUGGAGGUAAAAUCCCUUCUUUCAAUCUCCUAAACAUGGAAGGAUGUGCUAUCCCCCUCAGAAGAAUAUUUCUUUCAAAAAAAAAUUGGGACACCAUUGGAGCCAAUUCAAAACCCAGUAACAUGUGAUAGCCAACAUACAAGACUGGUCCUUCCGAAGGAAGUCCAGCGAGACCCCUGACUAUCUUCCCAUCUUCAAACGUUGAUAGCAUCACAGGGCUUGUAGCAAGCCUCAACCACCUCGUUGAUUCAUAUAUUUUUUUGAACUUAUAAGGGGAUGGUUGUAUGUAAUCUGAAAUAUAGUCGUAGUAGGCUCCUCUACGAUAGAAACUAGCACCCACGAUGGUAGUCACCAAAUCAACAUCUUCCUGCAAGAAGAGGAAAUGACCGCUAUCAGAAAACAAACGAGUCUCACAUUUUGGCAGCAAACUAUGAAGUCUUUGAGCUUCCUCUGCACUUGGCAGCAAAUGAUCCCUUCCACUGGAAAGUAUCAGUGUUUGAGCCUUUACAGCAUGGAGGCGUGAAUUGGCAAAUGCUGAAGCUGAUUUAAGCAAUUGUAACUUCCAGAGAAGUGUUUCUCUAGGUAAGACAUCACCCAGAACGGAGAGGUAAGAUGGAAUCGCAGCUACAUGUUGUGAAAAUUCUCCAACUGUCUGUUGAAGAGGAACUCCCUCUGUCACAUCAUCCAUCGUCACCUUGAAAGGAUCACCUGUCAUCAAACUCAGAAUAUAAGGAAGCCUGAGCUGGAGCGGGUCAGGUAUGAGGGCCCAUAAAGGUAUUAGAGGUUCCAGCUGCGACUUGUUAAAUGAUGUUCCUGGAUUAGCCAAAAUAAGUAGAAGAUCAACAUCCGGAUUGCGAGCUGCAACAGCUAGUGCAAGGCAUGCUCCCAAAGAUUCACCGACAAGAUAUAUCGGUCUAUUAGGUGAACGGUGAUUCUCUGAUCUAACUGUUCUUUCAACCAGCUUCACUAAGCCUGUAAAUGAUGUUCUAUCCUUAACUGGAAUAUGCAAGCACCAUAUGUCGAAAAUCUUUCCAAGACUAUAAUGUUGCGUUAUAAGUCCUAGCCCAACGCCAUCAAUCCCUGGUAAAUAGAGGAGGAGAGGAGAGUUGUCCAAGCGAGACCUACACUCCAACGGAGAGAACCACCGUGGUGGACCACCGUCCGAUCUGAUCAAAUCCUUUGACUCCUCAAAGUAAUCCUUCAAGCUUUUUAGAAAAUUCUUUUCAGCUUCGGCUAAAUCCCAAAGCAAUGGAUUUUGCUUCUCUUCUUUUUCGUUUUCUGAGCGUUCCAACUUCAACCUUCCAUUC